rnacentral:lncRNA from 1 species
AUUAAUCAAAUUUAGAGAGUAAACAAACAAAUUUGGAGUAUUAAUAACAGAUUUAACAUGAACAAAUCAAGUUUUUACUCUAAGUUCAUAACAAAGCUAAAAUCUAUAUACCUAUUAAAAGAGUGAAUUCAACAAAUAAAAUCUGAAAGUUGUAGAGAUGGAGCUCAGCAGAGUUGGAUCUUAACUAAUACAGCAGCAACAACAAGAAUCUCUAUCCAGUUCCUCUUCAAACCCAAAAUAAAUUAAAGACCUAAAAUGCUGGAAAAAACUUUUAAUGAACCUUUCCUGCAGCUUUCUUUUUUCUGCCGUCUCUUCCCCUCAUCCUUUAACCUAUAAUGUGUAUUUAUAACAAUCUCCUUAGGACAGCAAAUCAGAAUUUCUAAAUUCAAAACUUACCCCUCAUAAAUCUAUUUUUCAUCCUAUUUUACCUAAAUUUUGUACUAUUCAC